AACGAACGCUGGCGGCAAGCCUAACACAUGCAAGUCGAACGGACAAUUACCUAUAGCCUUUUUGGUUAUAGGUAGUUGUUAGUGGCAGACGGGUGAGUAAUGCAUAGGAAUCUACCUAGUAGUAUGGAAUAGCCAUUAGAAAUGAUGGGUAAUACUGUAUAAUCCCUGCGGGGGAAAGAUUUAUCGCUAUUAGAUGAGCCUAUGUUAGAUUAGCUAGUUGGUAAGGUAAUGGCUUACCAAGGCUAUGAUCUAUAGCUGGUCUGAGAGGACGAUCAGCCACACUGGAACUGAGAUACGGUCCAGACUCCUACGGGAGGCAGCAGUGGGGAAUAUUGGACAAUGGGCGAAAGCCUGAUCACAGCUAUGCCGCGUGAGUGAAGAAGGCCUUCUGGCUGUAAAGCUCUAUCGCAGUGUGUUAGGCUUGCCGCACGCGUUCGUUCUGAGCCAGGAGCAAACUCUUAAA
rnacentral:rRNA from 1 species